GAUGAACGCUAGCGGCAGGCCUAAUACAUGCAAGACGAGCGGUAAAUGAUUCAGCAAUGGAUUAUGAGAGCGUCGUAAGGGUGCGUAACACGUAUGCAAUCUGCCCGGAACUGGAGCAUAGCUCGGGGAAACUCGGAUUAACUCUCCAUAAUAUCGUUUGGUGGCAUCAUUAGACGAUUAAAACUGAGGUGGUUCCGGAUGAGCAUGCGGAUGAUUAGCUAGUUGGCGGUGUAACGGACCACCAAGGCGAUGAUCAAUAGGGGAACUGAGAGGUUGAUCCCCCACACUGGCACUGAGAUACGGGCCAGACUCCUACGGGAGGCAGCAGUAGGGAAUAUUGGACAAUGGGUGCAAGCCUGAUCCAGCCAUGCCGCGUGCAGGAAGAAGGCUUUCUGAGUUGUAAACUGCUUUUGCCAGGGGAUAAAAUAUCCUUGCGAGGAGAAUUGAAGGUACCUGGUGAAUAAGCCACGGCUAACUACGUG
rnacentral:rRNA from 1 species